AAGACACCAUUACCCACAAGUUCCAGUGUAGGGUGUACCGAGACACCGCUACACCCCCAGGUUCUGAGCCACCGAUGGGCUUGAACCUACCAAUCAUGUGUAACACUGCCUAAUCCACACUAAACCUCAGGAUGCCCACUUCCUCCUCCAUCUACCCCCCGAUUUAACCUUGCCAAAACUGGAAAAAUGAUCUAACCUAAUCAAAUUCAAGGAGGGUGGGAGGGACAACUGACAGG